GACGAACGCUGGCGGCGUGCUUAACACAUGCAAGUCGAGCGAGGCCCAUCCUUCGGGGUGGUGCCCUAGCGGCGAACGGGUGAGUAACACGUGGGCAACCUGCCCUCAGCUCUGGGAUAACUCCAAGAAAUUAGUGCUAAUACCGGAUGUGACCGCUGACCGCAUGGUCUGGUGGUGGAAAGAUUCAUCGGCUGAGGAUGGGCCCGCGGCCUAUCAGCUUGUUGGUGGGGUAAUGGCCCACCAAGGCGACGACGGGUAGCCGGCCUGAGAGGGUGACCGGCCACACUGGGACUGAGACACGGCCCAGACUCCUACGGGAGGCAGCAGUGGGGAAUAUUGCGCAAUGGGCGAAAGCCUGACGCAGCGACGCCGCGUGAGGGAUGACGGCCUUCGGGUUGUAAACCUCUUUCAGUAGGGACGAAGCGAAAGUGACGGUACCUACAGAAGAAGCACCGGCCAACUACGUG
rnacentral:rRNA from 1 species